CAGCAGCCGCGGGAAUACAGAGGGUGCGAGCGUUAAUCGGAUUUACUGGGCGUAAAGCGUGUGUAGGCGGCUUCUUAAGUCGGAUGUGAAAUCCCUGAGCUUAACUUAGGAAUUGCAUUCGAUACUGGGAAGCUAGAGUAUGGGAGAGGAUGGUAGAAUUCCAGGUGUAGCGGUGAAAUGCGUAGAGAUCUGGAGGAAUACCGAUGGCGAAGGCAGCCAUCUGGCCUAAUACUGACGCUGAGGUACGAAAGCAUGGGGAGCAAACAGGAUUAGAUACCCCAGUAGUCCCUGUCUCUUAUAC
rnacentral:rRNA from 1 species